GGGCCCGCACAAGCAGCGGAGCAUGUGGUUUAAUUCGACGCAACGCGAAGAACCUUACCAGGUCUUGACAUCGAUGUAAACCGGAAGAGAUUCUGGGUUCCUUUCGGGGAGACAGAAGACAGGUGGUGCAUGGUUGUCGUCAGCUCGUGUCGUGAGAUGUUGGGUUAAGUCCCGCAACGAGCGCAACCCUUGCGAUUGGUUGCUAACAGGUAAAGCUGAGAACUCCAAUAGGACUGCCGGGGACAACUCGGAGGAAGGUGGGGACGACGUCAAAUCAUCAUGCCCCUUAUGACCUGGGCUACACACGUGCUACAAUGGCCACAACAAAGAGGAGCGAAGUCGUAAGGCGGAGCGGAUCUGAGAAAAGUGGUCUCAGUUCGGAUUGUGGGCUGGCAACUCGCCCACAUGAAGUCGGAGUUGCUAGUAAUCGCGAAUCAGCAUGUCG
rnacentral:rRNA from 1 species